CUAUGCCUACGGGACGCAGCAGUCGGGAAUAUUGCGCAAUGGAGGAAACUCUGACGCAGUGACGCCGCGUAUAGGAAGAAGGUUUUCGGAUUGUAAACUAUUGUCGUUAGGGAAGAUAAAAGACUGUACCUAAGGAGGAAGCCCCGGCUAACUAUGUGCCAGCAGCCGCGGUAAUACAUAGGGAGCAAGCGUUAUCCGGAAUUAUUGGGUGUAAAGGGAACGCAGGCGGUCUUUUAAGUCUGAUGUGAAAGCCUUCGGCUUAACCGGAGUAGUGCAUUGGAAACUGGGAGACUUGAGUGCAGAAG
rnacentral:rRNA from 1 species